rnacentral:rRNA from 1 species
CCUACGGGAGGCAGCAGUGGGGGAUAUUGGACAAUGGGGGAAACCCUGACCCAGCGACGCCGCGUGAGUGAAGAAGUAUUUCGGUUUGUAAAGCGCUGUCAGCAGGGAAGAAAGAAAUGACGGUACCUAACCAAGAAGCCCCGGCUAAAUACGUGCCAGCAGCCGCGGUAAUACGUAGGGGGCAAGCGUUAUCAGGAAUUACUGGGUGUAAAGGGAGCGUAGACGGUUAAGUAAGUCUGGUGUGAAAGGCCGGGGCCCAACCCCGGGACUGCUCUGGAAACUAUUGAACUUGAGUGCAGGAGAGGUAAGCGGAAUUCCUAGUGUAGCGGUGAAAUGCGUAGAUAUUAGGAGGAACACCAGUGGCGAAGGCGGCUUACUGGACUGUAACUGACGUUGAGGCUCGAAAGCGUGGGGAGCAAACAGGAUUAGAUACCCCAGUAGUC